UACGUAGGGAGCAAGCGUUGUCCGGAUUUAUUGGGCGUAAAGAGCUCGUAGGCGGCUUAGAAAGUCAGGUGUGAAACCUCCAGCUUACCUGGAGACGCCACUUGAUACUUCUUAUGGCUUGGAGUUCGGUAGGGGACCACGGGAAUUCCUGGUGUAGCGGUGAAAUGACGCAGAUAUCAGGAGGAACACCGAUGGCGAAGGCAGUGGUCUGGGCCGAUACUGACGCUGAGGAGCGAAAGCGUGGGGAGCGAACAGG
rnacentral:rRNA from 1 species